UACGUAGGGCGCAAGCGUUGUCCGGAUUCACUGGGUGUAAAGGGUGCGCAGGCGGACUGGCAAGUCAGGGGUGAAAUCUCACAGCUCAACUGUGAAACUGCCUUUGAUACUGCUGGUCUUGAGUCAGGGAGAGGUUGAUGGAAUUCCAGGUGUAGCGGUGAAAUGCGUAGAUAUCUGGAGGAACACCGGUGGCGAAGGCGGCAUCCUGGACCGACACUGACGCUGAGGAGCGAAAGCCAGGGGAGCAAACGGG
rnacentral:rRNA from 1 species